rnacentral:rRNA from 1 species
UACGUAGGGUGCAAGCGUUAAUCGGAAUUACUGGGCGUAAAGCGUGCGCAGGCGGUUUUUGUAAGUCUGACGUGAAAAUCCCCCGGGCUCAACCUGGGAAUUGCGUUGGAGACUGCAAGGCUGGAGUCUGGCAGAGGGGGGGUAGAAUUCCACGUGUAGCAGUGAAAAUGCGUAGAGAUGUGGAGGAAUACCGAUGGCGAAAGGCAGCCCCCCUGGGUCAAGACUGACG